AUCAGCAGUACUUCCGCCAGCGGCGCGCUUCGGAAGCUAAGUUUCCUGUCGCGUGGCUGUUCCGUAAGGUCCCCUGCCAUCGUUCUUGAAUCUGCAGACAUCCGACUUGUUGUGGAGGUGUCUGGUCUCUGCGUAAAGGUCCCGCGGCUCUCCCGGAAACCGAUGGAAGCUCCUGGAUGGGCAUGUUGCAGCCGUCAGCCCCUCCUCUCCGCACUCCUUUGGAGGGUGGUCUCCCGAAGCAGCGGCUUGAGUGCACGGCAGCCACAAGAGGUGUCUCCAUCAUGCUCGUGAGAUGACAUGUGUCUCCUGGCCACCUAGGACUUGGUGUCCCACCAAGGAUGCAGCCAGGUUCUUCCAAGUGUGUAGUCUGGGGCGCAGGUGGAGGUCUGUGCCCGAAGCUGUGAGGGAGGCGGCACACUCAAGAAUGUCACUGCCCCGACGUGCUCUUGAACUGGGCACCUAGAGAGGACAGUUGGCACUGCAAAUCGUCAGGCGCGUCUAGGGGAGUGUCAGCUCCCUCCAGGAUUGUCCGCUGGGCUUCCCUGUGUACUCAGCUGCCAGAGUCUUCAAGAAGAGGCUGGAGCAAGAUGUAAGAUUGUCUGGAUAUCAUGGGCACCACGGGACAGAGUGGACAGUGAGGUCACCAUGUGAAGCAUCGCUGGAGCUGCUGCCUGCCCGGAGCACUCUGUCAAGGAAUUGGGGUCCCAUGUGGAGACUACCACCUGUUGACACUCCAUCUCCCUUCCCCCCAGGCCAAGAGGGCUAUGCCCUGGGAGGGGCCCCGUAGUAAUAGCAAAAGUGCCCUUGAAUUUAUACAUUUAUAGCAGCUUUCCUUACUACCACUUACUCGCUGUGGCCCCGCGACCUCACUGUGGACUAGUUUUGUCUCAUGGUAGAGUCUCAUGCUCUACCAACUGAGCGAGCCAGGCACUCCUUGUCUGCCUUUUAAACCAGUAGUAGUAACCUACGAGUCCUGGGAAAAGAGUCCUGGGAAAAGAGAUUAAGGGUCAAAACUUGUUACUGGGCUGCAGAGAUGGCAGAUGCAGAGAUGGUGUUAAGGUGCUUGCUUGCGAAGCCUAAGGAUCCAGGUUCAAUCCCCCAGACCCAUGUAAGCCAGAUAGUGGAGCAUGCAUCUGCAGUUU